rnacentral:rRNA from 1 species
GACGAACGCUGGCGGCGUGCUUAACACAUGCAAGUCGAACGGAAAGGCCCCUUUGGGGGUACUCGAGUGGCGAACGGGUGAGUAACACGUGAGUAACCUGCCCUUGACUUCGGGAUAACUUCAGGAAACUGGGGCUAAUACCGGAUAGGAAUCCUUGCUGCAUGGUGGGGGUUGGAAAGCUUCGGCGGUUUUGGAUGGACUCGCGGCUUAUCAGCUUGUUGGUGGGGUAGUGGCUUACCAAGGCUUUGACGGGUAGCCGGCCUGAGAGGGCGACCGGCCACAUUGGGACUGAGAUACGGCCCAGACUCCUACGGGAGGCAGCAGUGGGGAAUAUUGCACAAUGGGCGGAAGCCUGAUGCAGCAACGCCGCGUGCGGGAUGACGGCCUUCGGGUUGUAAACCGCUUUCAGCAGGGGCGAAGCUUGUGGUGACGGUACCGGCAGAAGAAGCACCGGCUAACUACGU